rnacentral:rRNA from 1 species
CCUACGGGAGGCAGCAGUGAGGAAUAUUGGUCAAUGGACGAGAGUCUGAACCAGCCAAGUAGCGUGAAGGAUGACUGCCCUAUGGGUUGUAAACUUCUUUUAUAAAGGAAUAAAACGAGCCACGUGUGCCUGUUUGCAUGUACUUUAUGAAUAAGGAUCGGCUAACUCCGUGCCAGCAGCCGCGGUAAUACGGAGGAUCCGAGCGUUAUCCGGAUUUAUUGGGUUUAAAGGGAGCGUAGAUGGGUUUUUAAGUGUGUUGUGAAAGUUUGCGGCUCAACCGUAAAAUUGCAAUUGGUACUGGCAGUCUUGAGUACGGUGGAGGUAGGCGGAAUUCGUGGUGUAGCGGUGAAAUGCUUAGAUAUCACGAAGAACCCCGAUUGCGAAGGCAGCUUACUAAAGUGUGACUGACAUUGAUGCUCGAAAGUGUGGGUAUCAAACAGGAUUAGAUACCCUGGUAGUC